GGUAAAAUGGCUGAGAUUAGGCGAUAAAUUGUAAAUUUAUUCACGAAUUUAAAUUCUUUUACCA
rnacentral:tRNA from 1 species